AGCCAUGAAUCAGUCCGAGAUGACAGAAGAGAGAGAGCACACCCACCUGAUUACAAGUAACAAAAAACUACCAACUAUCAACAUUUUGUCUACUAUGAAGAAAAUCACAUGUCUAGACUAUAGUUACGAAUGGAAGAUACAUUCAAUGAUGUUUAUGAAAAUUUGAGACGGUCGAGGACUAUAGUUACUCUAUCGCAUACAUUUAAUGACAAAAAAAAUUGUGUACUCUUAUUUAUUUUCAAUACAUCUUCAUUCAAUUUCUAUGCAAGAAUCAAAAUGCAGUAUAAAAAAUUGCAUUCAAUAUCAUGGUAAAAAAAUUGUUCAAAAAAAGUAAAUAUCAUGGUAAAAAAAUCAUUAGAUUUUGCAAUAAGUAAGAGUCAAGUUUUACCUUGUGAGGAAUUCCUCCCAACAGAAUCAUGGGAGCUCUUUCUUCUUCUCUCAUUGUGCCCUGCCAGUCUCC
rnacentral:pre_miRNA from 1 species